rnacentral:pre_miRNA from 2 species
UUCGUACUUCCUUCGUCCGGAAAUACUUGUCGUAGAGAUGUGUAUAUCUAGACAUAUUUUAGUUAUAAAUACAUCCAUUUCAAUUUCAUGUUGAUGACAAGUAAUUUUGGAUGGAGGGAGUAUUAU